rnacentral:rRNA from 1 species
AGUGAACGCUGGCGGUAGGCCUAACACAUGCAAGUCGAACAGCAGCACAGUAAGAGCUUGCUCUUACGGGUGGCGAGUGGCGGACGGGUGAGGAAUACAUCGGAAUCUACUUUUUCGUGGGGGAUAACGUAGGGAAACUUACGCUAAUACCGCAUACGACCUACGGGUGAAAGCAGGGGAUCUUCGGACCUUGCGCGAUUGAAUGAGCCGAUGUCGGAUUAGCUAGUUGGCGGGGUAAAGGCCCACCAAGGCGACGAUCCGUAGCUGGUCUGAGAGGAUGAUCAGCCACACUGGAUGUGAGACACGGUCCAGACUCCUACGGUAGGCAGCAGUGGGGAAUAUUGGACAAUGGGCGCAAGCCUGAUCCAGCCAUACCGCGUGGGUGAAGAAGGCCUUCGGGCUGUAAAGCCCUUUUGUUGGGAAAGAAAAGCAGCAGGUUAAUACCCCGCGGUUCUGACGGUACCCAAAGAAUAAGCACCGGCUAACUUCGUG